CGAACUGAUUAGCAAGCUUGCUUCUAUGACGUUAGCGGCGGACGGGUGAGUAACACGUGGGCAACCUGCCUGUAAGACUGGGAUAACUUCGGGAAACCGAAGCUAAUACCGGAUAGGAUCUUCUCCUUCAUGGGAGAUGAUUGAAAGAUGGUUUCGGCUAUCACUUACAGAUGGGCCCGCGGUGCAUUAGCUAGUUGGUGAGGUAACGGCUCACCAAGGCAACGAUGCAUAGCCGACCUGAGAGGGUGAUCGGCCACACUGGGACUGAGACACGGCCCAGACUCCUACGGGAGGCAGCAGUAGGGAAUCUUCCGCAAUGGACGAAAGUCUGACGGAGCAACGCCGCGUGAGUGAUGAAGGCUUUCGGGUCGUAAAACUCUGUUGUUAGGGAAGAACAAGUACAAGAGUAACUGCUCGUACCUUGACGGUACCUAACCAGAAAGCCACGGCUAACUACGUGCCAGCAGCCGCGGUAAUACGUAGGUGGCAAGCGUUAUCCGGAAUUAUUGGGCGUAAAGCGCGCGCAGGCGGUUUCUUAAGUCUGAUGUGAAAGCCCCACGGCUCAACCGUGGAGGGUCAUUGGAAACUGGGGAACUUGAGUGCAGAAAAGAAAACCGGAAUUCC
rnacentral:rRNA from 2 species